AUGACAGAUUAAGUAGGUACCCGUGCUGUAAAAAGUAUAGGUAGCAGGUUACCUUAUUAAAUGAUUAUCCUGGUACUUCCGCCGACGACGUCGCGGACGAGUCGCCUUCCAAUACAAGCGUAUGCACCAUUGACGACACCUCUUGUCCGCAUUCUCGCUGCCAGUGCCAGACUCGCUUCAUUCGUUACUUGCUGACAUCUGACACGCACCUACCUGUCACUCCCUCAAGCGGGCCUAUGGCUUGAGGCUACCAGACUGCCCUACUCCCAAGUAGCAGAGGUUGCAACAAGUUGCAACAAAAUCGUUAAAUUCUUGCAACUUAUAGAUUGACGUGCAGAUUGCCUACUCUUUCCUCCGAAGGAGCUAUCAUUGUUGGAAUUUGUUGCAAUUAAGUUGAAACAUGUUCCAACUUCAAUAUCGUUCCCUGUCUGCCUUCUUCGCAAACUGGUAAAGACGUCACGUGACUGGUCUUUACUAGCCAAUCACGUUACGACUUUACGCGCGCUAAUCGGAACGCCUCGUACAACAACGGACCGGUCCAUAAUCAGCCGCCAUCUCGCACCUGUCUUGCGUUGUGUACAUGCUUCGUCUCGUCCUUCGUCUUUGGUUCUGACAAUAUGUAAGUGAAAGUGAUACGUGAUUUGUGCAAUUUAAAGUGAUAUGCAAUUUACCUUACCUCACACCACACCACUGGAUUAAAUUGGCACCCAGAAUCUGAUGAAUCAGCAUUUUCAAUAUGUGGACUGUAGUGAAGAAAUAGUAGAGGGAGAAUACGAUGCUGUCCCUGACUCAUAGAUUCUUCCGAGCCGAAAGGAGAUGCAGUACCCGCUGCUGACGCCAUUCAAUGUGACAAAGCUGGCCAUGAGUGGGAAGCCAAUAUCAAAAUUAGCCUAUGAAAUUUUGGAAAUAUCUGAGUUGGGCAAAGAGUAUGGAAGUUUUGAUGAAGCAUACGACGAUGCUCGAAGAUUCAACAGAGGAAAAAAAUCUAGAUCCUCUUCUGAAAGAGAGAUAAAAGGAAAAGGCCAAAGAACCAAAAUUACCAAACGUCCCUAUGCUGGGUCCAGUACAGAGUCAGACUCUGAAUCAGAGAAUGCCUCUACCAACGAUAAUGAAGACCUGAGCCCUGAGAUCAAGUUGUCCAAGGAAAAAUCAAGGAAAAAAUCAUCGAAAAUAAAAUCAAAGCAGAGACUGAAAUCCAAUAGCGAAGAAGGCGAUCAUUAUGGUAGUGAUGAAGAAAUGCUAGAGCAGUCUAGAGUUACAACUCAAGCUGCAUCUAAAGCAGCUCGAACAAAAGCUGCAAUUGCACAACACUCAGAAAGAGUGACAUCUCUACCUCUACCAUCUUUUCCUGAGAAUUUUGAGGAGCCUAGACUCAGGGAAACUCAUGCAACUUCAAAUCUUGAACCCAAAAUUAGUGAUUCGAAUAGUAGCUUCUUGCAAGUGGAGCUGGAAGGUCCCACUGAAUUAGCCUCUCCUCUAAAAACUCACGGGAAAAAGCAUUCUUCUGAAAGCUCUAAGAAAUCAACCAAACAAGUGCAUUCAAUGGAUAAACAUUUAUUUGCAGACACAAUCAACAAGAACCGAUGUAAAGUUGGGAAGAAAACGAAGCAUCCUUGUGGUUUCCGCUUGUCGUGCAGCAAAGAAGAGGCCAUUCUGCAUACUUUAUGUUCUAUUGGAAGCAGUGUUGAAGAAUUAAAAUUCUUGGUGAAACGAGUUAAGCAAAAGGAUGGAAGCUACAUCACCAAAGAAGUAGAGCCGCUUGAAGAGGUUUAUCUUCCCGCAGAUAUUGAGCAGUUGUUGCCUUUCAAAGACAAUGUAGCCCUAAAGAACUUUGAAGAGAAAUUGAUGAAAGAAAACGAAAUUUUGAAGACUACUGUGAAUGCUUUCGCUUGGAAACAUCGCAAUGAUUCCAACAUUACCAAUACAACGAGAGGUCUUGCAAGAGAAAUAUUGUGUGAAAGUGUGCUCGCCCUCUACUCUCUGAAAGGGGGUCAUCAGAAAAAAGCCUAUGAAAAAAAGAAGCUUCCUUUUAACGAAUCAAUUAUUUACACACUAAUCGUUGAUGUUGUUGGACGCAUAUGGAAAAAGUCUGUGGACAGUUACAAAUGUGAAGUCGACAAAACCCUGGGUCCCUUUUUUACUCAGUUGAACAAGCCUGCAACUGAGGUGGGAAAACAAAGCUUUGUAAAGAAAAUGAAGCAACUUUAGAAGAUACUGUGUGCAAGUGUACGCUGUUCGGAAGCCGCAUUUUUUUGUUAGUGACAUUGGAGCAGUUUUAUCUCUCACUAAGAAUUACUGUUUUCCACUUUAAAAUUCUUGAAGCUCUGAGCUUGACUGUCUUGUAGCCUCUUCUAAAAUAUCUGAAUUCUUAAGCUCUCUUAGAAUAAACUUAAAGUUUGAUUCUCUUUCAUUUAAAAAAUGGUGUACUUUGAAGUGCUGCAAUUUCUUUCUUUAUUUUUACUUGUAUUAUUAUUAUUAUUAUCAUCAUCAUUAGAUUAGAAGAGUAUUUUCAUUCAGAAGGAGCACCGAUGUAUAUUGAAUUGGAUAUUGAAUUGUUGACUCUCUGAAACAUGGAUCUCUUCCAUACUUUUUUAUGGAUUAUUAUUAUUUUUUUUGUUUUUUUUUGGGACUUUAAAUGGUUCUCAACGCAAAGGUGGCUGUUUUUGUUUUAUCUAGAGUGAUACUAGUCCUCAAUUCGCUUGGUUCAUGAACUCAUUCCUCUGGUGUGAUCUUAAUCUAAGGUUUUAAUUCUUGAAGCUCUGAGCUAGACUCUCUUGUAGCCUCUUUUAAAAUAUUUGAAUUCACAAGCUCUCUGAGGACGAACUUUAAGUAUCAUUUAAAAUUUCCUUCAUUAUUAUUGUUUUAUUAGAAGAUUAUUAUUAUUUAAAAAAAGCACCAAUAUAUGCCGAAUUGUUGACCCUCUGAACAUGAUCUCUUCCAUCCUUUUUUAUGGAUUAUUAUUAUUAUCAUAAUUAUUUUUUAUUUUUUUCUUUGCCUUUAAAUUGUUUCCAACGCAAAAGUGGCUGUUUUUGUUUUCUAAUCAAGACUGAUACUAGUGCUAAAAUAGCUUGGUUUAUGAACUCAUUCCUCUGGUGUGAUCUUAAUUUAAGGUUUUGUAAACAUUUAUAGCCCUGAAUAUUUUCAGAGUAUGCGAUUUCUGAAACUUUGGAUAUCUUUUCUUUCUCGAUAUUCUUUUGCCUUCAUAAUUUAGUUACAAUACUUUUGUAGUACUUAAGUGAUACUUUCCCCUAUAAUGGGACUCAUGUUUGUUCCUUCUCACUUCUCUCUUAAUGCCAAUUUCUUUUUUGAUAUUCUUUUUGCCGUACUUGCCUUACAAUACUUUUGUAAAUACUAUUUGUAACUUACUUCAAUAGCAAAUUCAAAGUUUACCCACCCAAUUCAUAUAACUGCUGCACCCCAAAAAUCCAGACAUGCAGAGAUAAAUUGCGGAUCUUACGGGUCUGUUAAAAAAGCAAUUUUAUCAAUAUUAAGCUAGCUGUAUCGUAACAAAGUUUGUUACCAUUGUACUGUAGUAUUUUAGUCUUUCUUCAUGUUCUGCAAAGAGCAAAGUCAUUCAUUUGUUACCGUAAUUGUUUCCAGAGUGCAAAUUAAAGUAUCAGACCAGUAAAAAAAUGGUUCAAAUAUUGUGCAUUUUCCUUAAAAUGUCGAGAUUCUUUUAUUUUUUGACAGGUGGUUAAACUUAUAAGUAAAUGUGCUGCUGUUUCAUUAUAAUUUGUGUACUUUUGUAUUCCUUUAAACAAUUUUGGUGCAGCAAUCUCUUUACCUCAAGUGACUGUAACAGUAGAGACAAGUUGUAUGCCAUCUUUCCUAAAAACAAAAACAUUUUGUUGGUCAUUUUGUAUCAAUCUUGCCUUGAGGGAGACCCCUCACGGCAAUUUGAAUAAUUUCAUUAGAGCAACAUCAUAGUAAAGACAGCAACAUUUUCCUCGCAAACUAAACAAAUGUUGAUAAAAGAAGAAGGACUUUCAGGUGUUUAACCAUAGUCUAAAUUUAAAAAAGAAUUUUACAAUUUAUCAGAAAUUCUCGAAAAUGUGAUGGUUUAUAGAAUACGGCUCGAAUAUUUCUUGAAUUUUUUACAAAAUUUAAGCUGUUUUAUGAAUAUGUAGAAUUUUUGGGAAUUCUCACAGCCUUUGUAAAAUCCCAAGUUUUCGAAAAUUUCCACGUCCUUCCGAAGAUCCUAUAUUUUCGAGAAUUUGGUCAGUGUUGGUAAGAACAAUUGGUAUUAAAAACAUGAACUUUCUAGAUUUCUACCUACGCUGGAAAAUCUCGAAAAACUUAGCACGCUGUUAAAAAUUCACGUGUUUUAGCAUAUUUUGGCAAAGUUGGUAAAAUCAAGAAUUCCCGCGAUUUGCGGCUUUGAUGUACAUAAUAAUCCAGACUUUUCGAAAUUUUGAUAACAUUGGUAAAAAUUCACAUUUUUCGUUGUUACUAGAAACAUAAUCGUAAAAUUUCAAAUUUUCGCGCUUGAUGGCGUUAAAAAAAAUGCAUAAUUUCCGAGAAUGCUGAAAAUUUCGAGACGUUCCAUAUCCGGACUUUUCUAGAAUUUUGGCAACGUCCGUAUAAGUCGAAAUUUUCACGUCUUUGAAAAUCAAAGACUUUUCGAGAAUUCAGGAAAAGUUGCAUCAAAAUUCGGAAUUUCCGCGAAAUUUGACGACGUUCACGAAAUGUAGCAAUUCUACACAUUUUGGCAACGUCGAUAAGUUGCAAGAUUCAUGCAAUUUAAUUGCUACAAGUUGCGACUUUUCCUUCCGAUUGGAUCGCCGAAAAUCGGCACUUAUCGACCAUAUGUUGGCUGAAAGUUGCAACUAAGUUGCAACUUAGUUGCAACUUUUAACCAAUAUUGUUUCAACUUGUUGCAACUUUAACUUUGAAAAAUGCUACUUGGGCUCACCUCGAUUGUUUAUUUAGUAGAGCAGUUAGUGUAUGUUUUGCAUUCAUAGAUGACUUACGUUUAAAAAAUGUCUUAAAGAUGAAAGACUUGGCGCAAAAACGCAUAACUUCCCAAUCCAAUCACGCGUGUAAAUGAGCGC
rnacentral:lncRNA from 1 species